GAUGAACGCUGGCGGCGUGCCUAAUACAUGCAAGUCGAGCGAACAGACGAGGAGCUUGCUCCUCUGACGUUAGCGGCGGACGGGUGAGUAACACGUGGAUAACCUACCUAUAAGACUGGGAUAACUUCGGGAAACCGGAGCUAAUACCGGAUAAUAUAUUGAACCGCAUGGUUCAAUAGUGAAAGACGGUUUUGCUGUAACUUAUAGAUGGAUCCGCGCCGCAUUAGCUAGUUGGUAAGGUAACGGCUUACCAAGGGGACGAUGCGUAGCCGACCUGAGAGGGUGAUCGGCCACACUGGAACUGAGACAGGGUCCAGACUCCUACGGGAGGCAGCAGUAGGGAAUCUUCCGCAAUGGGCGAAAGCCUGACGGAGCAACGCCGCGUGAGUGAUGAAGGUCUUCGGAUCGUAAAACUCUGUUAUUAGGGAAGAACAAAUGUGUAAGUAACUAUGCACGUCUUGACGGUACCUAAUCAGAAAGCCACGGCUAACUACGUG
rnacentral:rRNA from 1 species